rfam:Felis catus isolate Cinnamon breed Abyssinian chromosome D3, whole genome shotgun sequence.
GCCUGGGUGGCUUGGUCGGUUAAGUGUCCGACUUCGGCUCAGGUCAUGAUCUCACGGUCCGUGGGUUCGAGCCCCACGUCGGGCU